UACGGGGGGGGGGCAAGCGUUUGUUCGGAAUUACUGGGCGUAAAGGGCUCGUAGGCGGCCAACUAAGUCAGACGUGAAAUCCCCAGGCUCAACCUGGGAACUGCGUCUGAUACUGGAUGGCUUGAAUUCGGGAGAGGGAUGCAGAAUUCCAGGUGUAGCGGUGAAAUGCGCAGAUAUCAGGAGGAACACCGGUGGCGAAGGCGGGUCUCUGGGCCGAUACUGACGCUGAGGAGCGAAAGCGUGGGGAGCGAACAGG
rnacentral:rRNA from 1 species